UUUCCUCUCUUGAUCUUCUUCUAGUUCUCAGAGAAUCCAGAGCUCUCCGCCUUCGACAUCGAGCAGGCUACCACCUCUCCCCUUUCUAGCAUGAGACGGUAAAAAGCUAGCCCUCAGUUUCUUUUGCAGUACUCUAUCUCUGGGAACUCUUCACUCGAUAAUAGUUGCUAGCAGACUUGUCAACUACAUUUGCUCAUAUUUAUCAUUAGCAAGUUGUAAC